UACGUAGGGUGCGAGCGUUAAUCGGAAUUACUGGGCGUAAAGCGUGCGUAGGUGGUGAGUUAAGUCUGUCGUGAAAGCCCCGGGCUCAACCUGGGAAUGGCGAUGGAUACUGGCUCGCUAGAGUGCGGUAGAGGAGACUGGAAUUCCUGGUGUAGCAGUGAAAUGCGUAGAGAUGUGGAGGAACACCGAUGGCGAAGGCAGCCCCCCUGGGUCAAGAUUGACGCUCAUGCACGAA
rnacentral:rRNA from 1 species